GCCACUCCAUCCCCGCGUGGCCGCACCUUCCCCCCUCCUCCUCGCGCCGCCCCUCUCCUUGACCCGACCGCCAUGACCCCGUGGUCACUUCACCAGUUUGCGGUGCCGCCCCGCCCGACAGCCGGCUAGAGGCCGCCCGCCCGCCGACGUCCCAUCGGGAUGCUUCACCAACGUCCACAUCCAUGUGCGACGGCUGAAAUUUCUGAUCUGCGACGGUGCGCCGAGAUCAAGCGAUGAGGGCGGCAGCACGUUGAACUCUGCAGGUUCACAAAUACUAUGAUCUUGCUACUAGCUUCUAUGAGUAUGGCUUGGGGUGAAUCCUUCCACUUUUCUCAUAGGUGGAAUGGGGAGCCUUUAAGGGAAAGUAUCAAACGACGUGAGCACUUUCUGGCCCUUGAGCUUGAUGAAAGGACCACGAUGUCACCUAGAGGGGGUUGAAUAGGUGUUUUAAAAACUUAUGUGAAUUUGGCUUUUAUCCUAGUGCGGAAAUAAACUAAACAUAUACUUUUCAAGCACAAAUCCUAAAUAUACAAGGCUCAACUAAGUGCACCAACAACUUAAAGUAAAUGAGGUGAGCACAACAAGGAUACUAACAAGCACAAGUAAGUUACACAAACUUACUUGAGCAAUAUCACAAGAUAUGUAAGUGUAUGACACAAGUUAGCAAUUCACACUAAACACAAGAUAUAUCAAUAGUAGCAAGUAUGAAUUGCGGGAUAUAAAGUGUAGGCCUCAAUAAUCUCUUCAAGGAAAUAGCCAACACAAUAUGAUGAGGAGAACAAUAUAUAGUGAAUGUAAAGUCAAGAGACCAAAGUAAACCACAAGUAGUGGCUAGGGUUAGUGAUAACCGAAGACACGGAGACGAGGAUGUAUCUCGAUGUUCACUUCCUUGGAGGGAAGCUAGUCACCGUUAGAGAGGUGGAUGUUACCA